GCCCGGAUGGCCUAGGCGGUUUUAGGCAUCUGCCGUGAAUGCAGAGGACGCUGGUUCGAUUCCAGCCCUGGGCA